AGAGUUUGAUCCUGGUCCACGAUGAACGCUGGCGGCGUGCUUAGUACAUGCAAGUCGAACGGAGAGCCUUUGUAGCAAUACAGAGGUUUCUUAGUGGCGAACGGGUGCGUAUCGCGUUGGUGACCUGCCCCAAAGUGUGGGAUAGCCCGUCGAAAGGACUGCUAAUACCGCAUGUGGUCAUUGGGUUUAGAAGCCGAUGACUAAAGCAGUAAUGCGCUUCGGGAGGGACCUGCGUCCCAUCAGCUAGUUGGUGAGGUAACGGCUCACCAAGGCUACGACGGGUAGGGGACCUGAGAGGGUGGUCCCCCACACUGGCACUGAAACACGGGCCAGACACCUACGGGUGGCAGCAGUAGGGAAUAUUGGGCAAUGGGCGAAAGCCUGACCCAGCAACGCCGCGUGCACGAUGAAGGUCUUCGGAUCGUAAAGUGCUUUUCUGAGAGAUGAGAAAGGACAGUAUCUCAGGAAUAAGUCUCGGCUAACUACGUGCCAGCAGCCGCGGUAAAACGUAGGAGGCAAGCGUUAUCCGGAUUUACUGGGCGUAAAGCGUGUGCAGGUGGUUUGGUAAGUUGGAUGUGAAAGCUCCCGGCUCAACUGGGAGAGGUCGUUCAAUACUACCAGACUCGAGAGCAGUAGAGGGAGGUGGAAUUCCCGGUGUAGUGGUGAAAUGCGUAGAUAUCGGGAGGAACACCAGUGGCGAAAGCGGCCUCCUGGACUGUUUCUGACACUCAGACACGAAAGCUAGGGUAGCAAACGGGAUUAGAGACCCCCGGUAGUCCUAGCUGUAAACGAUGUGAACUUGGCGUCGGCGGGUUCAAAGCCGUCCGGUGCCCGA
rnacentral:rRNA from 1 species